rnacentral:rRNA from 1 species
CCUACGGGAGGCAGCAGUGGGGAAUAUUGCACAAUGGGGGAAACCCUGAUGCAGCGACGCCGCGUGGAGGAAGAAGGUUUUCGGUAUGUAAACUUCUAUCAUCAGGGAAGAAAAUGACGGUACCUGACUAAGAAGCACCGGCUAACUACGUGCCAGCAGCCGCGGUAAUACGUAGGGGGCAAGCGUUAUCCGGAUGGACUGGGUGUAAAGGGAGCGUAGGCGGGUUAGCAAGUCAGAAGUGAACGCCCGGGGCUUAACUCCAGGACUGCUUUUGAAACUGUUGAACUAGAUUGCAGGAGAGGUAAGUGGAAUUCCUGGUGUAGCGGUGAAAUGCGUAGAGAUUAGGAGGAACACCAGUGGCGAAGGCGGCUUACUGGACUGUAAAUGACGCUGAGGCUCGAAAGCGUGGGGAGCAAACAGGAUUAGAUACCCUUGUAGUC